rnacentral:rRNA from 1 species
GUGGGAGCCUCUUUAUGGGGUGACUGCGUACCUUUUGUAUAAUGGGUCAGCGACUUAUAUUCUGUAGCAAGGUUAACCGAAUAGGGGAGCCGAAGGGAAACCGAGUCUUAACUGGGCGUUAAGUUGCAGGGUAUAGACCCGAAACCCGGUGAUCUAGCCAUGGGCAGGUUGAAGGUUGGGUAACACUAACUGGAGGACCGAACCGACUAAUGUUGAAAAAUUAGCGGAUGACUUGUGGCUGGGGGUGAAAGGCCAAUCAAACCGGGAGAUAGCUGGUUCUCCCCGAAAGCUAUUUAGGUAGCGCCUCGUGAAUUCAUCUCCGGGGGUAGAGCACUGUUUCGGCAAGGGGGUCAUCCCGACUUACCAACCCGAUGCAAACUGCGAAUACCGGAGAAUGUUAUCACGGGAGACACACGGCGGGUGCUAACGUCCGUCGUGAAGAGGGAAACAACCCAGACCGCCAGCUAAGGUCCCAAAGUCAUGGUUAAGUGGGAAACGAUGUGGGAAGGCCCAGACAGCCAGGAUGUUGGCUUAGAAGCAGCCAUCAUUUAAAGAAAGCGUAAUAGCUCACUGGUCGAGUCGGCCUGCGCGGAAGAUGUAACGGGGCUAAACCAUG